AUCAAAGUUCAGUCACCUGACUGAUUUAUUCAUGAAAUUUAAAUAUGACACUAUUUAUAAGAAACAAAAAAAUGCAAACUAAAAAAAAGUUUUGUUUUAGGUUUGGAUAAACCCCUCCCACCUCAGGGGCCCUGGGUAGUCCUACUCUUCCACCACCGCUUCCACGCCCCUGCUUGCGUUGACACGAUCACGGAAGAGGCGGAAGACGCACGGAGGAAACAUAUUUAAACAACAUUAAAUGUUAAUGUUUUUAAUAAAGUACAAAUCAGAUAAUCUCAAACCCAGGAUCUAUCGAUGAGGAAGUUUAAAGUUUGUUUUAAAGCUGAAGAAGGAAAAGUCCGAACACGGAAAUGAGAGCUGGGAGGUCUGCGUGUCUCUGCUGGAGUUUGCUGUCUGUCUGCGUCCUGCUGGUCUCUGCAGACUGGAAAAUCAUCACAGCGGAUACUGGACAGACUGCCACUCUGUCGUGUCGAGGUCCAAACAGCGACAUCACAGGUGUGGAGUGGAGCAGAGCUGACCUGAAGACACAAUAUGUCCUUUUGUACCGGGACCAGCAGCUUGAUUCAGCAAACCAGCAUCCAAAUUUUAAGGACCGGGUGGAUCUGCAGGACAGACAGAUGACGGAUGGAGACGUGUCUUUGAUUCUGAAGGAUGUGAAGAUUGAGGACACGGGAACAUAUGAGUGUCGUUUGUUAGAUGGGAAGUCCAUCAGCAGCAUCUACCUGAGAGUUGUUCCUGCAGGUGAGUGAGUAGAGUUGAGUGUGUGUGUGAUCAGAGGUGAAGCUGCUUCCUGGUUGUUGAUGUUUGUUUCUAAAGAUGUUGUUGAUGAGACUUUGUAGAAAGCAGCUGGUCUGAGUGAUGUGAUCAGAGUGCAGUAGAUAAUGUCUGACAGCAGUUUGAAGAGGAAAUGGAUUCUGUUCUGUUCUUCACUCAUCACCUACCUGACAGCUGACACCUCACACCUGUUUCUCACCUGCAGGUCAGACAGGAGGACAGAGUGGAGACGGAGUGAACGAGGAUGGAUUUGUUGGACUGAAAGCUGGUCUGCCCCUUCCUGCGAUGUUCAUCAUUGCUGGUGUUUUUUUAAUUUACCGAAAACAUAAAAAACGCAGGCGUCACGGUUUGUACUAUCAUGUGUGAACUGAAACUCUUUGUUGCACUACAUGAAGUAGGAAAAUGGUGGAGUGGUUUACAGUGGAGAUGUGGCCAUUACUUUUAUUUAUUGUUUGCACAGAAGGACAACAGAGCAAUGCUAAACUGUAGUAUGCUGGUAACAGAACUUUGGCUCUUUGCAACCAUUUGCACAGACAGUAUGCUAAUGCUAAGCUAAGUUAGCCAAUAACCCUGAGUGUUGCUGAAACUGGGUGUAUGCAGACCCCAGCCCAGCAGCCAGAGUCUGAACUGUAACAGGUAACAAAGGCAGAGAUGAUCAGUCAGACUUGAAAUUGCUGUUUCUACCUGUCCAUGUUUCUACAGUGGAGCAGCUGGUGAUCGCUUUGAAGUCUCUUUGGGCUGCUUUGUGUUGAAACCUUAAUAAUAAAAGAAAGAUCAUAUGUGUGUCCUCAUUAGGAUAGGGAUUUCUGUUGGUGUGUGGGACAGGGUGUCAUGACACCAAAGCUAGUUAUAAGACACAAACAGGAGAAGCAAACUGAGCUGUUAGAGUUCAUGACAGAAACUGAGUAAUAUGUCAUGUGACCUUGAUUUUUCCCUUUUCUCGGUGGCGGUUUUGUGAGGUGCAGAACUGUUGGACGAUUGUAAAGCUGAGAUCACAUGAACUCAGAUUAUAUCAAGUAAUUAGUAGACAUGGAAGUAUUUUUUUCUUCUCUCCAAAGUGUUAAGUGUUUUCUCUUAAAGGUGAAGCCAGUUUUCCUCUCUAUGAAUUAUAAUGUAAGAUGUCCUGGUUUUACAGUUUUGUAAACAAAUCUUUAUAUUUUAUAAGCUAAUGCUAAAAAAAAAUGUUUUAUUUGUGAAUGUGAAGAUAUCCUGUAAAUUGUCAGAUUAAUGUAACUAUUACAGUAAAAUGACUCUUUGCACAGAUAAAGAUUUACCUCCAUGUGUGAGUGAUGGAAGCAGAUGCUGUAUAGACAUAUUUGUGUUCACUGAAAGUCAAGACAAGAACGUCUCGUGUGGUGUGCACAUUUAAAAACAGGGUCUAAAAGGUAAAGAGGAUUGGGUAGACAGAGGAUGGAGGGUGGAUAAUUUUUUAUACAUGCAAAUAAGAAAAAAUGAUUAUAAUUAAGGAUUAAACCAUAUCGCUGUGCAUUCAUGCUACUGGAAGGAUUCAUUCAAUAGGAUAACAUCAACUUACAUCACUAAUGCAUUUAGUAUUUAAGUAUUUUCUUUAAAGUGAACAUAAAACGCUACAUGUAAAAAGGCUAAUCUACACCACGAAGCCACGCUCUAAAAAGCUUUCACAGAUUUAACACUGUCUGUGACGCUGGAAAUAAAGUUUCUAUUUGUAGAGUAUGUUUGGCACCAUGUUGUGCAAGUACAGCAUGUGAUGUUACUGGGUUGGUCGGCUAAUAGACUUCUAUUCAUUUAUGUUUGCUAACUAGCGACAGAUCAGAUCACUUAGUGCAAAGCAAGAAUACGAAAACUAAAAUCAGCAUUAGUUUUGUGAACCACCAGUGUACCUGACUCAAACAGGCUCUCCUCCUCAUUCUUAACACAGGUGGAUUCUCAUGUUUCAGUUCAGCUAGCCGACGUUGAAGAAUCACUUACUGCUAAAGAGACAGAGAGUGAAAGUGGACAGUUUAUCCUCAGUUUCUUAGUAUAAAAUAACUCAUUGUUGCAGACAGGGACAGUACAAAAUCAUCCCCUUAGACUGGUUUUUAGUUUUAGUUUCUAUGUUUUCUGCUAAGUUAUUGGUUAUGUCGUUAGUUAGCUAACAUAAACUUAUGCAUGUCUGUGAGUUGCAAGCAAUCAGCCAACCCAGUGAUGUCACGCUCUGUACUGACACAAGAUGGUGCUUAAUAAAAUGAAUCUUUAAACACUCACUAUUUUAAAUCCAGCUUCAGAGACAGUGUUACACCUCUGACAGUCUUUGACAGCAGGGCUCCAUGGUGUAAACUAACCUUUACACAUGUAGUGUUUUAUGUCCACUUUAAAUACAAUGCAGGGAUUUAGUGUAACACAUGGGAUACGUCCAAGUGAACACGUUGGUAAUUACUUAAAAGUCUUCUUAACUUACAAAGUUUUUCUGUCAGGCUGUAAAGAUGUCGUUAUAUAAACUUUGACAGGUGACAGGAUAUGAUGUAUGCUGCUGUAGUGAAACUGGAAUGGGGUUUAAAACAGAUUUUAACACAGAUAAUUUAUGCACUUUUUAAUUUUAUGAUCCUUAAGACUUUGAAAAAGUAUUUUCAUGAAGUCAGAUCUCCUAUCGUGAGAGCACAGGGUGCGCUUUACUGUGACAUCAGAGGCUGAGGAGGGGGAGAAGCUUCCACUUUAUCUUUGUGGUAAAACAUUUCACUGUGUUUAAAGACAUGAAUAAAAACUGUGUUAAAUCAG
ensembl:lncRNA